UAUUGGACAAUGGGCGAAAGCCUGAUCCAGCAAUGCCGCGUGAGUGAUGAAGGCCUUAGGGUUGUAAAGCUCUUUUACCCGGGAUGAUAAUGACAGUACCGGGAGAAUAAGCUCCGGCUAACUCCGUGCCAGCAGCCGCGGUAAUACGGAGGGAGCUAGCGUUGUUCGGAAUUACUGGGCGUAAAGCGCACGUAGGCGGCUUUGUAAGUUAGAGGUGAAAGCCUGGAGCUCAACUCCAGAAUUGCCUUUGAUACUGCAUCGCUUGAAUCCAGGAGAGGUGAGUGGAAUUCCGAGUGUAGAGGUGAAAUUCGUAGAUAUUCGGAAGAACACCAGUGGCGAAGGCGGCUCACUGGAGCUGGUAUUGACGCUGAGGUGCGAAG
rnacentral:rRNA from 1 species